CAGAAGAGAUGAUCGGUUCACGUGCGCUCUGCCUCUGUUUGAACUGAAGCGCUACAGCGAUGUUUCAGUCACACCACAGAGCGCCAAAAAAGAUCACGACAGCUCGAGAGAUAUCUAUGGUCUCCUGUCUAUGGGAAAGUAGCCCAUUUUCGAUUUAUUGUGCCUGAAAACUCACCCUGACACCCCCCACCCCCGAAAAAAAAAACUCUUCAGAUCAACACGAUUCACAUAAAUGAUAUAUUUUGACUCAACACGGCGAAUUUCACCGAAAAGCGACUAGUUUGCAGGUAGCCUAUGUAAUAUCACUACAGUGUGUCAUCAAGCCUGCUUGUGGCUUACUUUACUUUCACAAGUUCCAGCGCCAUCUUCUUCAUGUGCUGUUUGAUGUUGCUGGUCAAAAGGUGCAGUCAGCUGAGGAUACAUACAAAUUCUCAUUGCAGUAUUUAAAUAAAUUGCAAGAGAAGUUGCCCAUAUGGACAUUUUCAUGACAUGCCAAUCAUAAGUACAGCUAGUGAUGUGCCUGAAUCACGGAAAUGCAUGGAAAUCCUCUUCAAAAUGAAUUCUACCGAAUAAUAGUUUAUGAGUUCACACAGUAGCUAAAGGUUAUGUGUAUUUGGCAAGCUGUCCAAAGGGGAAGGCUCCGAGCUCGGAAUUUGGCUUGAACCCACAGUAUUCCCCCAAAACGCAAAUGAGCAAAGGACAGCCACCAGAUGGAUUGACAAUAAAUAAAAACUCAGAAUAUUAAUCUCAGUCAAAGGUAUCAAAUAGCCUUUGACAAAACAACAUAGCUGCUUGACAAAACAAAGUGCAACUUAGAAAAAGAAGCCAUUUGAGUCUACCGUUAAACCAACCCCCACCCUUCCCAUCACCAUUUGGAGAAACAUAACUAUUCCCAUGAACUAUGGGGGAUCAAACCAAGAACAGACCUUGAUCCGCCAGCCCCCCUUAAUACGAUCCGUGGAGUCAACAGAAGCCUGCACAUUACUGAAGCACCAACACUGGCCCUGUGCUGAUAUAAUGGCUAGUAAGUACGUCGAAAUAUAAAAAAAUAUAUAGGCUAUAUAUAACAAAUAAAUAAACAAAUAAAAAGAAAUACAUAAAAUAAUAUAACUACAUUUCAAAAAAUACAAAUUUACAACCUGGCAGAAACCAUAGCACACAACCCAACACGAAAUAAAAAAUACAAUGUGAACUGAGAGAGUUUCAAUAUUUGUGGAAAAAAUAAAUAAAUAAAGUGAGGUGAACACUUUAUAAAAGAACAAUCACCUGACAAAUUAGAGCAUAUCUUCUUCAAUUAAAGACAGAAAAUAUCCUGCUGAAGUUCACAGAGGGUUAGUAGCUGAAUGACAACUGAGAAAAUGUCUCGCUUCCUCUGGAGAGAACAGUAUUUUUUUGUUCACCCUUAUUGAGAAUGAGCUUUAGUGUUGCAGGAUAAAGAAGGAAAUUCUGGAUGCCAGCUUCCCUCAUUUCCCUCCGAAUUGGUACAAACGCACUUCUUUUUGCAGUCAUAGGAGAAAAGUCUGGAAAAAAGGGCAGCGUUGCUCCGUCGCUUUUUUUCACCGGCGUAUGAAGUCUGGCAGCCCGUUCCCUGUCCGAGUAUCGCAAAAGUUUAAAGAGAAAGACACGUGGUUUAGCGCGAUCUGUUCGUGUACACGCGAUGUGCUCGUUCCACUUCAAUCUCCCUACCCGCCAGAGAAGGGAGCCACGUCGGCAGCUAUCUUUUCGGAUCCUUUUUUCGGUCCUUUUCGGAUCCUUCAGGCAAUCCAACCAGACGCAGAUUGCUGCGCCUGUUCCAAUCUUGUAUAUCCACCACCUGCUGUUCAAGCGCGGCUAAUCGCACAUCAUGAUCUGCGAGUCGUUUUCACAUCUCACCUGUAAGAAGAUCGAGUUUAGAACAUAGCGACUGCACAACUGACAUGUGAGAAGCAAAUUCACUCCGUAUCGCCGUAAACUCUGUUUUUAGAAUGUCCUCAAAGAGUGCUACUCCAUUUUGUCAACCGUAUCACUCGUGCUCGGUGUCUUGGAUCUCUUCUUAAUCGGAGAAGACGACGGCGACAAAUCCUGCUGUUUUCGAUUGUGUGCCAUCUGGUGGUGACAAUUACUGGCAGCCUCUCCCAUUCCAGCUCUAGACGUGCAGCAGGGAAUUCGCCCAGGACACCGGCUUCAGCUUUAGCAGUGACUGCAUACUGUUGGCAUUCUGGACCCCAAGCAACCUUGGCCUGAAAAAGGACAGUUGUGUUCAAAGGGCACCGUCAGCACAGAUCUUCAGGUUGUCAUUUUCAGCGAUGGAGGAAAUGACGAGCUGCACUCUUGCAGUUGGCUUGUCAAAGUAAGCUGCAAGUUGGUAGCCCAGCAGCUUGUGGUCAACUCUCACAGCACGGGCAAUGACAGCAAAAACAGGUGGAAUACCAUUUCCGAGGAACUUAGCCUGAAAUAAAAAAACAUAAUCAAUUAA